rnacentral:rRNA from 1 species
UGGCGACAUAGAGCGGAACCCGAAACCUGUCUCAGUUCGGAUUGGAGUCUGCAACCCGACUCCAUGAAGCUGGAUUCGCUAGUAAUCGCAGAUCAGAAUGCUGCGGUGAAUACGUUCCCGGGUCUUGUACACACCGCCCGUCACACCAUGGGAGCCGGGAAUGCCCGAAGUCGGUGACCCAACCGUAAGGAGGGAGCCGCCGAAGGCAGGCCUGGUAACUGGGGGUGAAGUCGUAACAAGGUACC